rnacentral:tRNA from 1 species
GUGGAUGUAGCUCAGUGAUAGAGCACUUGCCUAGCAUGAGUUGGCUCAGCAGUUAAGAUCACUGGCUUACAUGCUCAUCCGGAGGACCCGGGUUUGAUUCCCAGCACCCACA